UUAUAUUAAAUUAAAUUUUGUUAUGCCAACCCAAAAGAAUGUCCCAAUUCCCAAAAAAUUAGCAUAUCCAAAAAUAUAAGUCUCACAAAUGUUUAGUUGUAGUUAUGAACCUGAUAAAGAGUACAUGUCAUAGAUCAAAGUAUAAGAUUGACAAAGGAGCGAGAGAUCGUGUCCUAUCGAGCCAAAGGUUACCAGAUUCAACCAAUUACUAUGCACCGAAUGACGUGACCUUUGGAGAGAUUCAUCUUCAUUCUACGACUCUGUCCAAGUAUUUUUUUCACCAUGCUUCACUUCAUUUAUUUAAUCAUUAAACAACAUCACAAAGCACAAACUCCGACACCCUCCAUAACUUUGUUCUUAUUUUUUAGGCCCCUCAAUCUUUGUAGCCCAAACCUCCCAUCCAUCUUCCUUCUAAGUUUUUGAAGUGAUUGUGUUAUGUCUUAUCACUAUAUAAAUAUAUAAUUUGACUUAUUUGUUGG
rnacentral:lncRNA from 1 species